rnacentral:rRNA from 1 species
UACGUAGGGUGCAAGCGUUGUCCGGAAUUAUUGGGCGUAAAGGGCGCGUAGGCGGCUCUGUAAGUCAGGCGUGAAAGCCCUUGGGCUCAACCUGGGGAGUGGCGUCUUGAUACUGUGGGGCUAGAGAGCGGGAGAGGAUUGGUGGAAUUCCCACGUGUAGAGGUGAAUUCGAUAGAUAUUGGGAAGAACACCGGUGGCGAAGGCGGCCAUCUGGACCGUAUCUGACGCUGAGGCGCGAAAGCGUGGGGAGCAAACAGG